UAUUGUUGCCCCAUGACAUUUUCAAGCUAGUUUUUUUGUAUUCUGUGCCUUGAUGGUUGAACCUUGCAACCAAAAAUUCCUUAUCUGCCCUUCUGAUGCACCAACCGUUCUAAAUCCGGCUUCUGUCCGGCUUGUGAAGUACAAAGAGAUUGUUAGCUUUUUACUGUAGCUAUGUGCUGCAUUCACAGCAUCAUCAACACCUUCUUCAGGGAACCCGCGACCAUCCACCGCUGCCAUCAGCCUCUACCCUUUUUCCCACCGGCGAGACACCAUCCCUGGCCUCGUGGCCUCUCCUCUGGCGUAGGCAACUAAGAGAAUCGCGACCUCUGGUGGCGACUUCGGCUCGGCAGCAGCUGAACGGAGGUAGCGGCUCUUCGACGGCGUCCCCUGUUUUCCACGCCGCAGGCAGUAACUUCUCCGACCUCUGCUUCCCUGUCGACAUCUUGCACCGGUGACCAACAACAAAGAAGGAGUUGAUGGGUAUUUGUGCUGACGUGAGCAGAUGUGAACGACGGCGACUUUGGUCCUCUUCCUGGUGUGGCCAAGUCAACAGCAAGGAGAUCCGGUAGCAUGGAUGAUGACCGACGAUGAACGGAUCCCCCACCGGCGAACGGAUUAGAGACCGAUAAUUGUGUGGCUGUUGAAGGCAGCGACUAAGAUUAUAGCACGUCAACAGGUCACGCUAAUGCAGCAAAUUGUUAACUCGACAGUUGCCACCGUGACCACUGGCCAUUCUGGGUCGACGACAGUCUACCUCUAUUGCCUGAUUUCUCUUAAUGAAGUUACGGAUGAAGCAAAAACAGAAAGGAUGAGGAAAGAAGAAGAGUUGCAGAGAGAUGGAGCGAAGGGAAAAAAAUAUCUAUCAGUUGUGGAAGAACCUGCAGUUUAUGUAUUUAUACAAUGGACUAAUGGAAUAACUGAUCUGUUGCGUGAGUAGCUGUACUCUAACAGAAUAAUACAGCUGUUCAACUAAUUUAAAGCUCUAAUAGACUACUUUGUUGUGCACCCUC